GGAGACCAGUUUUUGAGUGCAGUCCAGUUAAGAGUUCAGCAGUCUGAUGGCAACUAACUCUAACUUUUACUCACUCUGAUUAGAUAUUUAUUGAACUUUGCUACAUAGUGCCGGCGUCUUUAAAUUAAUCCUUAUUUUAUUGCUCAGAAUUGACUACAUUUUACUACAUUUGAUUACAUUUUUUUUUUUACAAAAUUGUAAUAAUUUACACAUACUUUCCCAAAAACAUACCUGACAUUUACUCAAAGUUUGAUUUAAUAUUUAUUCAACUUUGCUACAUACAGCUGCAGCUACAUUUUAUUGAUCAGAGUUGACUAAAUUUAGUUUUCUUUUUUUCUAGAAAAUGUACAAAUUCCUUCCCAACAACAUAUCUGACCAACCUUUACUCAAAGUGUGACCAAAUUCUGCUUUUAAUUUAAUAUUUCCUAAACUUGGCUACACACAGCUAGCGUCUUCAAACAGAUCCUUAUUUUAUUGGUUAGAAUUUAGUAAUUUUUUUUUAUUUUUCCAAAAAAUUUGGUAAUUGUUUUUGCAAAAUUGUAAUAAUUUACACAUCCCUUCCCAACAACAUAUCUGACUAGUUUAAUGAAAGCAUUGUUUGUCGUUGGAGUUUGGACACCCCUGAUCUAGCAUUGUCCAAAAGAAAAAAGAAAAAAAAAAUCCAAAUCCUGUUUCUGACUCUUCAAAGCAAACGUGAGGAUUUACUGUUUAACACUAAAGAUGUUACUUUGCUUCAAUGAUUUAUUUUACCCAUAACCAUGUACAAAUAAACAAAACCUUUACAGCUUUGUAUGGUCACACAUUUAGCAUUCAUUGGUCCAAAAGCACUCCUGACGGUGACAGAAAAACCUCGACGCCGACUGAUUCCUACGUCGGCGCCUCGGCGUUGCACUGACGUCACAAAUGUACCAUCCAUUCUAACAGUUUCAUUGCAAAGAAAAUAUUCACAUGCAAUGAUUGGAAAACAAAAAUUACAUUACCUCAUGUCACAUAGAAAGUAAGCGAAAAGUUCCAGUAUUUAGAAAUAAGUUUUCUUCAGAGAUUCGUCUCUUUUUGUUGUUUUUUUUGUAAAUGUUUUUUAUAGUCCUACACAUUCUGUCAACAGCGUUGUUGGUCUCAUUUGGGUUGUAAACAUAAAGUUACAGCCGGCCGGCUGCGUACCAUUGCUCAGAGAGAAUUGGUCGAUCGAUCGGUUGCUAUCAAUCGGCUGAUGGGGAAGAAUUGGGUUGGGGGAAAUACAAACCGUUCUUUGGGGCAACAAGACACCAGCGAGAGACUGGAGAACAGACUAAACAGUAAAUUUGCGUAAGACACCCUGAGAAUCACAACUACGUUUCCCUCUUCCUGUCCUCUCUCUCCUUUUUAUUUUUCUCAUUCCUCUGCUUCUUCCUCUAAGAUCAAAUCAUUGCCAGGUGGGCGUGGCCUCGUCAGUUGGGUUGCUUGGUCGGUAGCUUGGUUUUGUUGUGCUGGAAGCCAGUUGCCGGGCAACUGGCCCCCCCCCCUGCGGGUUGCCAUGGAAACGGGUUAAGGUGGAUUCUGGCCUGGUAAAGGUAGUAUGCGGCACGUACAGUAGUAUGAACAAGAGGAUGCAGGAUGCAGCUCUGGGGGAAAAGAGCAAGUCUUGGUUCGAAGAUUAAAGAAAUUAAAUUUUUUUUUUUUAAAUGAGUGAAAUGGUGUAGAAAGUAAGCGCACCGCCUUCAGAUUUAAUCCCUAAAUGUUGAAAUAAACGCUAACAAACGUCUGUCACGUGAAUUUCUGUCCCCAAAACGUUUAUUUUAUGUUACUUUAUGUUGCACAACGACUACAUCUGCUUCCCACAGCAAAAAUAGUCCUGGUGAAAUUCUCUGCGACUGCAGGGGUUCCCUCACUUUUCAGCCUGUGGCCGCCAAAAUAAGAGCGCCAGAGACUUGCGUGACAUGUGAUAAUUUUAUUUCAUUGUGACUUUUUGUUUGUCUGAUUCAGUUAGUUUUAAUUAGUUGGGUUUGCUAGUUUUUAUUAAUUAUUAGUUAAAUAUUAUUUUGUUUUUGUUAGUUAUAGUAGUAGUUUUAGUUUUUUCAUACUUUUACGGAUUUACGCCGCAAUUUUCAGACAACUAGCGUAAACUUAAAAACAAAUUUCACAUCAGUUCAAAAGGCUAAUAAAUAAAUUAAUAGACACAAAAACAAAGGAUGUCAUAUUUAUAAUUUCAUUAUGUUUUAGUUUUAUAAACACACACUAUAGUUCAAUUUAGCUUCCCCUCAAAUUACCGUUUUUAUUUCAGUUAACAAAAAUGUUUUCCCAAUUUCAGUUUUUGUUAUUUUGUUAGUUUUAGUUGGUUAAUAACCUCAAAUGCAACCCUCUAAAAAAGGCAUUAUUUCCCUCGGUUUAUUUAAAUUUAAUUUAUAAAGUGCCAGUUCCCAACAAACGUCAUCUCAAAGCUCUUCACAAAAACUAAAUUUAAUCACACAUUAAAUUGGAACACAUGCUAUUUUUUCCAUUCUGAAAAAUGUUAAACCUAUAUGUACAUUAUUUAUUUCAUGACAUAUUUAAUUAUUUAACCCUGCAUGCACGUUAGGAGCUACAUUAUUAUAAUUCUAAAAAUGACUUAGUGACCCCUUCAAUUGGCGUCUUGCGACCCUUUCCGGCCCACGACCCCCACUUUGAGAACCCCUCCUUUACUGGAUGCUUCCUUUUACACUUUAGUGCUAAAUUUCUUUCACCUCUGAGGCUUUGGAGGCAGAAGUCCAAGGAACAGACGUGUUAAAGCAAACUAAACCCAAAUUGGUUGAAACUUUAAUGAAUCAAGCAACUGAAUUCGGUUUUGUUUGGAUUUCAACCGUCAGGAAUCUAAAAAGUAAAAAAACAAACAACAAAAAAACCACUUUAACUUUUAUCCCCAGAUCUGUCAGUAUAGAUUGUGACAGUAGUAUGUUAUCGAUGGAGGACAUCACAUGGGGCUGACGUGGUGUGCAGCAAAAGGAUGGCGCAGGGGUAGGCGGUAGUGGUGGACAGUGAUUGGUUGAUUUGGUUGGUCAGGUGACUGAAGGGGGUUAUGGACAGUCGAGUUGAGUCAGAUCACAUGAUGAGGGUUUGCAGCUAUAACGUCAGGCGGUUCCAUCAGGGAGCAUGGAAGCCUGACAGGUUUUAGCUUUUUGGUGGACACUGGACAGAAACACCCACCCCGAGCCCCAACCUCACACACACACACACACACACGCACGCCCACCCCAACACACACACACUCGCCCAACAAACACCCACACCCCAACACGCAUGCAUCCAAAGGAAAGUUAGAAGCAACUCAUGCACGCUCACUUGAGUGAAGUCGGCCCUGCCCACCUUCUUCAAAUUAAAUGAAAUUGGUGUCAAAUUUUGUGCUGCAAAAUCUUUUGUUUGUGCUGCUGUCAUUUUAAAGACACAAAUGUUUCUGGAGGUCAUCAAAGGUAAACCAGCCAUCCACAUUUACAAAAUCAAAUAAAAUCUGGUGUUAACUAUGCUGCGUUUGUGCAGCACAAAUUUUCAUUUUAAAAGCAGCAUAAACUUGAGGGCAAGUUUUAAACCAAUUAUUGAUUAGUUCACAUUUAUAAAAUCUAAUUAAUUGAUGUGAAUAAACUGUGCUCAAGAUUUAGCAGAAAGUUCAGAAAAAAAAACUCAUUUUGGAGGUUUGUGCAGCACCAAAAUUGAUACUGCUACAUUUGUGCAGCACAAAUUUAAUUUUGUGUUGCUGUCAUUUUAAAUAUAUUCAUAAAUGUUUCCAGAGGUCACCACAGGUAAAGAAGCCCGUCCAUGUUUAUUAAAUCAAAUAAAAUAUGGUGUCGAUCAACUGUGCUGCACAAACGUAGCAGCACAAGUUUUGGUGCUGCACAAACGAAGCACAGUUGAUUGACACCGUAUUUCAUUUAAUUUCAUAAAUGUGGAUGGGCUGGUUGACCUUUGGAAAAAGACACAAAAAGUUGUGCAGCACAUUAAUCAAUCAAUCAACGUAGCACAGUCGCUACAUUGUGUGGCACAAAGUAGCGACUGUUUAAUUUCGUAAAUGUCUAUUGGCUGGUUGACUGGAAACAUUUAUUAAAGUCUUUAAAGCAAUAGCAGCACAAAUGAAAGUGUUGCAGCACAAACAUCUGACACGGAUUUUGUUUAAUUUGAGGGAAGUGGGCGGGGCCGACGUCCCUCGGGUUGGUGUGAAUGUUUUUAGCUCACACCAGCUAGCACUCGGUCCCACCCCGGACUUGCGAUGUGUUACUGUGAUGAUGCAGAGUGUGGUGGAAGGUGAAGAAUAAGACAACGGAAGACAGGUGAUGCUAAAAUGAACAUUUAUAAUGACUGCUGUUGCUGUCGCAAAAUAAGAAUCCUUAAAAAAAGACCUCAUAUAUAUAUUAGCACUAGAUUGCCCACUUCACUGGUAAUCCACAAGUCAAGAAACACAACUCACUAGGUUUUUUUUUUUCGCUUUACAAACACAAUGCUACAAUUACAUUAAAUAUUCAAUAAUUUUUAAGUCAGUUAAUGAAUGUUGUUAAAAGCAACCACUAAGAUACUAAAAAAUAAAAACAAAACAAUAGUAUUAAUUCACCUUUUUUUUUCCAGUCAUUCCCUUUUUCUUGUUGCGACGUUAUUUAUUAAUAGUAUAUCAAUAAUAGUCUGAGAAAUAAAUAGCUCAUGUGGUGUUGUCACGGCGAUGGGGCAGGCAGCAUAAAUCAAGAGUGGAGCUGAGAGCAAUGCAAUGAAAUGGCGGGAGUCGAAUUUAUUUCCAGAAAAAAAUGCAACAUGGAGAUAUGAUCCGACUUUUUCUUCUUUUUUUUUUCCACUAAUGGCGGUGUUUUUAUUUUUUGUAAUGAUGAUAUAUGUGGCUAACGCUAAUAAAAACACACUAACGCCACUACAACUCACUGGUAGGAAACACAUCAACAAAUGCACAUCGAGAAUGGCGUUUAGCUAGCCGUCGAGGUUAGCGGUUGCUAUCUGAAGCUAACAGGGAAGCUAACAGUGCACACAGGAGGUAAAUCAACACUAAUAACAGCACAGGGCAACACUAGCAGAGCCGAUUAAAGAUCACACUACGGGAGUUCAGGAGUUUCUCUCUUUAUGCUGCCGGCCCCGUUCUGCUUAUCACGUUCUCUCUUUACAGCUUGGCAAAAAACUCUGACAAAAAUAUUUACAAUGAGAGAGAGAGAAAAACGUGGAGAAACAGUUGCUUUUUAUGCGUUUUCUUUUCUUUAAGGAUCUUUUUCUUACUUUCAUUUUUUUUUUUUUACUUGUAUCUCAGAGAAAUGUCCCCCAAUGAUGAGCAACAAACAAACAAACAAACAAAAAAAUAAUAAUAAUCCAAUCAUAUCAGCUAGCAUUGCACAGUCUCAAGAGAGGUUUUAGGGAUGGAAUGGAGAGUUAUCGUCCAAACAGUUGAAUGAACACAGAAGUGGGGAAGGAAGGUCAAAGUUCAUGAGGAAGGAGGGAGGAGGAGGGGGUGGGGUGAAAGUUCAAAAAUAGUUCGAGAAGACAGAGGAUGGGCUGCGCAGCUGACGGUGCGUAAACACUCCCCCACACACACACCACGGUGCGUGAUUUGGAUGUUAAACGACAAACAGAAACAAAACAAAAAAUCAUCAUUAGAAAAAAACAAAAUGGAGAUUUAAAAAAAAAAAAAAUCUUUCCCCAUUGAGAAAAAAAAUCAAAUGGAGCGAGAGCGAUCACAGAGAAAGGAAGAAAGAAGGAAGGAAAGGGGGAAAUGGCACACAAUCAAAAUGGAGUCCAACAGGCUGAAGAAAUGACAGAAUUAGGAGGGAAAAAAAGAAAAGAAAAAGCAGCUGGCAUGAGCGGUAGUAGCGCUGUUUCUGUUUGGUUUCUGGAGUAGGAAGGUAGCCGACCUGCAGAGGGGUUAAUCCUGGCCGGGUUUAGCUCUGUGGAGGGUGGAGGGUGGGGGGGGUGAGGAAGAGGAGGAGGAGGAGGAGGAGACAGGUGGUGGUAGGUGGGGCAAAAGGUGCCGUUCUGUUGAGGCGUCAUGAGCGACAUCAUGUUAUGAGGGGCGGAGCAUGCUGGCUUCAUGGGUGCUUCCAAGAUGGAUGUCCAAGACAAUACAACUCAAAAACGCUUGGAAUGGUAGUAGUAGUAGGAGGAGGAGUAGUAGUCACUGUUUGUUUUUGUUUUUUUUUGUUUGUUUUCCUCUCUUUUUUUCUAUUUUGGCACUCGAGAGAAGAGAUUCGUGGGAGGCGGCAGAGGAGAAGAAAAGUGUGAGUGUAUGUUUGGACGAAGAGGAGGAGGAGGAGGAAGGAGUGGGCAGUGAAAGUGCACAAAAAGGAGAGCAUGGAGUGUGUUUUGUUUGUGUUUAUGUGUAUGUUUGGAAAAAAAAAAGGGUAAACAAGCUACAGACAGAAAAUGGCAUUCUUUUUUUUUUCUUUUUCGUUAAAACAGAUUCGGGUUAGAGCAUACAGUACAAACCAAAAACCAGGAAGGUAAAGAGAUCAACAGAAGAAGAAGGAACAGAAAAACAGUGAUGUGACAAAUGCAGUCUACAGUUGCUGCUGGUGUUUCAAUGGGGACCGAGUUUCCUGUAACACACCGCGGAAAGCAGGUUUCUAGAGGUAGGUGGAGUAAAAAGGGCCAAAAAAUGAAAAAUGAAAAUCAGAACAAGUUAUGACCUGUUGAGCAGGUUAGGGGUUAAACUAGCUACACAUUUAAGAAAUUAUGAUUCAUCGGCUUUCAACAGAGACGGACAUGAGGAGCAUGCACAUCUAAACACACAAAACACGGAUUAAUGCUAAACAUCUACAGUGGUCUCACGCUCAGCUCGGCCCGUCAUGCAGUGUCAGCAGAGUUUAACUAGUGCAAACAUUUAAAACCUCAUGGCAAUACUUUCUGACAGGAGGAUAAGACGGCCAUGCUGAAGCCGAUAAAGUGAACACCGGAGGUGCCGGGACUAAAAAAUACUUAUUUUAUCUGGGAGUCAGAAAGGUGUUUACCAGAGAUGCACCGAUCUCAGCCGAUACCGAUCACGUCUGGUUUCCUUUUUUUAUGGACUGAAAACCCGAGAAAAAACCUGCUGCAGGUUUUCAUGAAGGAGGCUAAUUGCAUAAAAAUCAAUUUUUAAAACGUUGAAAUACUGUUAAAACAAGACGAAACGGCUAAAAAACAAAUAUAAGUCGAUAUCAACAAUUAUUGAUUAAUUUCUUGUUUCAAAUAUCUGAAAUACUGCCAAACUGUUGGCGUAACCUUUCCUGUUUUCCAGUUGUUUAUUUUCAAACAACUUUAAACUGCCAGUUACUCAGCAGGUCGUUGCUAGGUAACCAAAGGUUAAGGGGGGGGGCUUGUGACUGCUUCUCACCCAGCAGGCUGUUGCUAGGCAACCGAAGAGCGAGCGAGUCGGGUGAUUCCACCAACCUAAGCUAGGUUGACUCUCUCAUGUUUUAUCUAGCUGCUAAAACAUGAGAGUUUUAGCGGCUAGCGUGUUUCCUUUGCCAUAUUCUAGUAAAAUGUCAGAGUUGCAUCAUUAGCUUAGCAUCGUUUACGAAAAAGAGAUUCUGCUGAAUGGAAAUAUUUCUGCAGCACAAAACCCCGGAGAGUCACAGCAUGGAAACUAUUGUAUUACACUAUAACAAGAUAGUUGAUAAUCAAUAAAGUGUAAUAAUCUGUGCAAUAUAUUGUUUAAAAUACUGCAUCAUUAUACUGUAGGACUCCUUAACCUUUAUUUAAACUCAGAACAUUUCAUUUAAGUGUUUACAGCAUGACGAAAUGUCACUUUUCUGUUUCGAUUUAUUAAAUAACAGGGGGAAAAAAUCGUCUGGUUCUGAUGACCGGAUCGGUGCAUCCCGAUUAAAACACCGACGCAUGAAGGAGUUUUUACCUCCUUCUGUCACACCGGUCCUGGAUUCCUCCUGCAUAACUAACUGACUGCAUAAACUGAUGAAUUAAUGCCAAGAUAAGCCAGAAAGUGAGGGAAGGGGGAAUAAAAAGACUCCAGACAAAACGCGCCAACAGGUUAGUAAUGUUAGAGUACGAAACCACAGAAAAACACAUGAAAGCUCCUGCAGCAGUUGUGAGAAAAGUGAAACUCAUGAAAUGAUGAGAACAUUCGUGGACAAUCUCUGUCUAGAUUUGUAGCUAAAUCCUAAGAAAUAUAUAGAUUUUAAUGUGCGUUUCAAUAUUUUUAAUCCAAGCUCGCUCAGGAUGUAAGAAAGGAAAGUUUGUUCAAAAGCUUUGUUCAAAUCCCUCGCAAGGAAGUCAAUUUAAACUCUAAAAAAUUUCCUCUUCCUGUUGUAGCAAACAUGAGGCGGCCAUGUUUGUUUCAAAGCAGCUGCAUGGAAUAACAAGUUUGAACGUAAAACAAUAUCAAAUGCUCUACCCUUAUCGACAUGCAGAGAUUUGUUUCAGAAAAUCAACAACACACACUGCCUAUUUUUUUAUUAUUUGUUUUUCUUUGUUUUUUUUCUUCUUUUUUUGUCCACGCUUCACUUUGAUAUCAUGCAAUAUAGACGUGCAAAAAAGAUAACAUCUAUUUCCACAAAAUACAUUUUAUUUAUUUUUUUCUUGUUGUAGCUAUAAAAGGUUGUACUUAAGAAUGCUAUCU